ACAAACAUCAUAUCUGAACUAAGUAAAUGGAGACUUAAUUUUAUUGACUGGCACCGAAUGGAAAUGAGAAAAGAGAAAGAAAAACAUGCAGCACAUUUAAAACAACUGUGUAAUCAGAUCAGUGACUUGAAGGAGCUGCAAAAAACCUUUGAAAUCUCCAUUGGGAGAAAAGAUGAGGUGAUUUCUAGCCUGUCUCAUGCCAUAGGCAAGCAAAAGGAAAAGAUAGAGUUGAUGAGAACAUUCUUCCACUGGCGAAUUGGCCAUGUCAGAGCCAGACAGGAUGU
rnacentral:sRNA from 1 species